AUUGAACGCUGGCGGCAGGCCUAACACAUGCAAGUCGAACGGGUGGCGGACGGGUGAGUAAUGUAUGGGCAACUGCGUGAGGGAGGGGGACAAGUACUGGAAACGGUAGCUAAUACCGCAUACCAGCGGAUGGGCCCAGAUGGGAUGAGCUUGUUGGUGGGGUAACGGCUAACCAAGGCGACGACCCCUACCUGGUCUGAGAGGAUGACCAGCCACACUGGAACUGAGACACGGUCCAGACUCCUACGGGAGGCAGCAGUGGGGAAUAUUGCACAAUGGGCGAAAGCCUGAUGCAGCCAUGCCGCGUGUGUGAAGAAGGCCUUCGGAUUGUAAAGUACUUUCAGCGGGGAGGCGUUACCCGCAGAAUAAGCACCGGCUAACUCCGUGCCAGCAGCCGCGGUAAUUC
rnacentral:rRNA from 1 species